rnacentral:rRNA from 1 species
UUGAAGGUGGCCUGUGAGGGUUGCUGGAGGUAUCAGAAGUGCGAAUGCUGACAUAAGUAACGAUAAAGCGGGUGAAAAGCCCGCUCGCCGGAAGACCAAGGGUUCCUGUCCAACGUUAAUCGGGGCAGGGUGAGUCGACCCCUAAGGCGAGGCUGAAAAGCGUAGUCGAUGGGAAACAGGUUAAUAUUCCUGUACUUGGUGUUACUGCGAAGGGGGGACGGAGAAGGCUAGGCURGCCGGGCGACGGUUGUCCCGGUUUAAGCGUGUAGGGGGUGUGACCUGGUAAAUCCGGUUGCAUAYYAACCCUGAGGCGUGAUGACGAUGCACUACGGUGCAGAAGUAGUUGAUGCCCUGCUUCCAGGAAAAUCCUCUAAGCUCCAGGUAACAUURAAUCGUACCCCAAACCGACACAGGUGGUCAGGUAGAGAAUACCAAGGCGCUUGAGAGAACUCGGGUGAAGGAACUAGGCAAAAUGGUGCCGUAACUUCGGGAGAAGGCACGCUGGCAUGUAGGUGAAGUCCCUYGCGGAUGGAGCUGAAGCCAGUCGAAGAUACCAGCUGGCUGCAACUGUUUAAUAAAAACACAGCACUGUGCAAACACGAAAGUGGACGUAUACGGUGUGACGCCUGCCCGGUGCUGGAAGGUUAAUUGAUGGGGUCAGCCGCAAGGCGAAGCUCUUGAUCGAAGCCCCAGUAAACGGCGGCCGUAACUAUAACGGUCCUAAGGUAGCGAAAUUCCUUGUCGGGUAAGUUCCGACC